AUGAGCGCUGGCGGCGUGCCUAACCCAUGCAAGUCGAACGGAGUCCAGCCUUUAAGACCUUCGGGUCAAAGAGGGGAAGACUGAGUGGCGGACGGGUGAGUAACACGUGGGCAACCUGGCUCAUAGAGGGGGAUAACAGAGAGAAAUUUCUGCUAAUACCGCAUAAGCACACACUGCCGCAUGGCAGAGGGUGAAAAGAGAAUCGCUAUGAGAUGGACCCGCGUCUGAUUAGCCAGUUGGCAGGGUAAGAGCCUACCAAAGCGACGAUCAGUAGCCGAUCUGAGAGGAUGAACGGCCACAUUGGGACUGAGACACGGCCCAAACUCCUACGGGGGGCAGCAGUGGGGGAUAUUGCACAAUGGGGGGAACCCUGAUGCAGCGACGCCGCGUGAGUGAAGAAGUAUUUCGGUAUGUAAAGCUCUAUCAGCAGGGAAGAUAAUGACAGUACCUGAAGAAGAAGCCCCGGCUAACUACGUG
rnacentral:rRNA from 1 species